AUGGCAUGUACCAGCUAUGGUCUCCCUGAGUCCUGCUCCUCCUACUCAACACUGCCCCUGAGUCCCUUGGCCUCUUCUUCCCUCUACCCCCACCAUCCCUGUCCCCAAUCCCCUCCCUACAGUGCCCCUUCCAGAGUCCUUACCUGGUCUUCCUGGAAGCCUGCCUACUGUAGGGGAGCCUCAUUCAGAUUUGGUCCCAUGUUCAGGGUCAGGGUGAUGUCCUCCUGGGCUUGUGUCUGCAAGUCCCCCAGCAGGUUGAGUCCCAGACACAGGAGUCCCAGGGCCAUCACUUCAGAGCAGCUGCUNNACCUUCCAAAUGCCAGAAGCCCAAAAUCUGAAAUUCCUUUUAUGCAGAAAUCAAGAUGUGGGCAGGGCCUUUCUCUCUCCACAAGCUCUGAGGUUGGACUUUGUCUCCUUCAGCUUCCUGGGCUUGUGGCUCUGUCGCAGUGAGUGACAGCAGGCACCAUGGAGAAUGAAAAAGACUGCUCAGAGACAAAAUUUCCUUUAAUCCACUGAGAGGACUUAAGGGCUAUUGCUCACUGGAGAGCACCCAGCCAUUAGGGAGACUCUGAGAGAAGAAAAAGCUCCCAAGUCAAGAACUCUCUAGAUUUUAUUUAGAAUCUCAGUAUUAGAGAAAAAAGUAGGAGAACAUUCAGUUUGGGCACAGAGCUGUCUCAGGGCUAGGCAGUUUCUCCUGGGCAAAGGGGAAGGACAUGGCCAGACACAACAUUCUUUACUAAUCAAACUUCUUGUUAUUUAAUCAUUCAAUUUUCACACAGCCUGUGUGCUUUUGCCCCAUAGUUUCAUCAUUCUCUCCUCGCAGAGCCUAUAUGCUUUUUGGCUGCAGUUUGUUUGUGUGCUUUUGUCCCACAUUUUAAUCAUUCACUGCUCAUAGGAGUCAACGAUAAAACUGAAUGA
rnacentral:lncRNA from 1 species